CCUACGGGCGGCAGCAGUCGAGAAUUUUUCUCAAUGGGCGAAAGCCUGAAGGAGCGACGCCGCGUGGAGGAUGAAUGGCUUCGGCCCGUAAACUCCUGUCAUUUGCGAACUUGUAGUAGAAGAGGAAGGGACGGCUAACUCUGUGCCAGCAGCCGCGGUAAUACAGAGGUCCCAAGCGUUGUUCGGAUUCACUGGGCGUAAAGGGUGCGUAGGCGGUUGGGUAAGUUUGACGUGAAAUCUCCGGGCCUAACCCGGAAACUGCGUUGAAUACUAUCCAGCUAGAGGAUUGGAAGGGAGACUGGAAUACUUGGUGUAGCAGUGAAAUGCGUAGAUAUCAAGUGGAACACCAGUGGCGAAGGCGAGUCUCUGGACAAUCCUGACGCUGAGGCACGAAAGCCAGGGGAGCAAACGGGAUUAGAUACCCUAGUAGUC
rnacentral:rRNA from 1 species